ensembl:misc_RNA Gm22967 predicted gene, 22967
AAAUGUGCAGAUGAUCUGGUUGGCUAGGUAGGGUCCUCCAUCCUCCAUCACUCCCCCCAAGCUGCCCUCUCAAUUGAAGAGAAUGUCUGUCUCUGAAUACAGGAAGACUGUCUUCAGUCAAGGGUAUACAAGUAGCUGUGGUCCCCUGCUAGAACCUCCAAACAAGCUCUCAAAUCCAAAAACUAAAAACCCAGAUCCGAUUCACAAUUUUUCAAGGAUUGUCCAAGUACAUGAUUUUG